GUCCAGACUCCACGGGAGGCAGCAGUGGGGAAUAUUGCACAAUGGGGGAAACCCUGAUGCAGCGACGCCGCGUGAGUGAAGAAGUAUUUCGGUAUGUAAAGCUCUAUCAGCAGGAACGAGACAAGACGGUACCUGACUAAGAAGCCCCGGCUAACUACGUGCCAGCAGCCGCGGUAAUACGUAGGGGGCAAGCGUUAUCCGGAAUCACUGGGUGUAAAGGGAGCGUAGACGGCUGUGCAAGCCUGAAGUGAAAGGCAGGGGCCCAACCCCUGGACUGCUUUGGGAACUGUACGGCUGGAGUGCAGGAGAGGUAAGUGGAAUUCCUAGUGUAGCGGUGAAAUGCGUAGAUAUUAGGAGGAACACCGGUGGCGAAGGCGGCCUGCUGGACUGUGACUGACGUUGAGGCCCGAAGGCGUGGGGAGCAAACAGGAUUAGAUACCCCUGUAU
rnacentral:rRNA from 1 species